AUGAACGCUAGCGACAGGCUUAACACAUGCAAGUCGAGGGGCAGCACAGGUAGCAAUACCGGGUGGCGACCGGCGCACGGGUGAGUAACGCGUAUGCAACUUACCUAUCAGAGGGGGAUAACCCGGCGAAAGUCGGACUAAUACCGCAUGAAGCAGGGGUCCCGCAUGGGGAUAUUUGCUAAAGAUUCAUCGCUGAUAGAUAGGCAUGCGUUCCAUUAGGCAGUUGGCGGGGUAACGGCCCACCAAACCGACGAUGGAUAGGGGUUCUGAGAGGAAGGUCCCCCACAUUGGUACUGAGACACGGACCAAACUCCUACGGGAGGCAGCAGUGAGGAAUAUUGGUCAAUGGCCGAGAGGCUGAACCAGCCAAGUCGCGUGAGGGAUGAAGGUUCUAUGGAUCGUAAACCUCUUUUAUAAGGGAAUAAAGUGCGGGACGUGUCCCGUUUUGUAUGUACCUUAUGAAUAAGGAUCGGCUAACUCCGUGCCAGCAGCCGCGGUAAUACGGAGGAUCCGAGCGUUAUCCGGAUUUAUUGGGUUUAAAGGGUGCGUAGGCGGCCUUUUAAGUCAGCGGUGAAAGUCUGUGGCUCAACCAUAGAAUUGCCGUUGAAACUGGGGGGCUUGAGUAUGUUUGAGGCAGGCGGAAUGCGUGGUGUAGCGGUGAAAUGCAUAGAUAUCACGCAGAACCCCGAUUGCGAAGGCAGCCUGCCAAGCCAUUACUGACGCUGAUGCACGAAAGCGUGGGGAUCAAACAGGAUUAGAUACCCUGGUAGUCCACGCAGUAAACGAUGAUCACUAGCUGUUUGCGAUACACUGUAAGCGGCACAGCGAAAGCGUUAAGUGAUCCACCUGGGGAGUACGCCGGCAACGGUGAAACUCAAAGGAAUUGACGGGGGCCCGCACAAGCAGUGGAUUAUGUGGUUUAAUUCGAAGCAACGCGAAGAACCUUACCAGGUCUUGACAUCCGACUAACGAGAUAGAGAUAUGUCAGGUGCCCUUCGGGGAAAGUCGAGACAGGUGGUGCAUGGUUGUCGUCAGCUCGUGUCGUGAGAUGUUGGGUUAAGUCCCGCAACGAGCGCAACCCUUGCCACUAGUUACUAACAGGUAAAGCUGAGGACUCUGGUGGGACUGCCAGCGUAAGCUGCGAGGAAGGCGGGGAUGACGUCAAAUCAGCACGGCCCUUACAUCCGGGGCGACACACGUGUUACAAUGGCGUGGACAAAGGGAAGCCACCUGGCGACAGGGAGCGAAUCCCCAAACCACGUCUCAGUUCGGAUCGGAGUCUGCAACCCGACUCCGUGAAGCUGGAUUCGCUAGUAAUCGCGCAUCAGCCAUGGCGCGGUGAAUACGUUCCCGGGCCUUGUACACACCGCCCGUCAAGCCAUGGGAGCCGGGGGUACCUGAAGUCCGUAACCGCGAGGAUCGGCCUAGGGUAAAACUGGUGACUGGGGCU
rnacentral:rRNA from 1 species